GUAAAAUACGGUCAUGCGUGGGCCCUCAUCCAAGAUGCCUGGUCUCCUUAUAAAAAGAAGAAAUUUGGACACAGACACGCACAGAGGAAGGACCAUGUGAGGAAGCACGGUGGAAGGCGGCGUCUACAAGCCAAGGAGAGGAGCCUCCAAAGAAAUCCCCCAUGCCGACUACUUGACCUUGGACAUCCAGCCUCCAGAACGGAGCUGUAAGCCCUUCGAGCCUCUGGUGCCCAGCCUUGUCGAUCUGCUUUGCCCUCCGAGGGUCGCAUCUUAGAAAGGGAGGGCGGGAGAAGGGCCAGGCUUAUGUCAUCUGGAGGGCACAGGGCUGGGCCAAGACAGCCUUGGUGUGGAGCCCCAGCCUGGCACCGAACCUGGGGGGCUGUGCAGCAAGAAAAGAGGAAGAGGAAGACCCCCAAGUAGGUAACUCUGAUGUUUUCUUUAACUUUUCAGGGUCUUAGGAGACCCUCCUGAAUGGGGCCUCAAGAUCUGGGGUGUCUGGAGCAGAGGGAGGAGCCUGGCUUGCUGGACAGCCCUGGGGUGGGAUCCCUGCUCAACUAGCUAUGUGGCCUUGGCCUCCCAGCCCACACCCCCUCUGCACAUGCGUCCUACACGCGGACACGAAGUCGAAGAUGCACCUCCAGCUUCCAGGAAACAGUCAGGAUUUCCGGCUCCUUCGCCUUCCUCUGGUCAUCCGGAGACGGCUGCAGAGACCCGAUCCAGGGAAGGGCGAGGCGUCUGGGCUUUGAUGUCAGACGGACCUGAGCUGGAAUCUGUCUUGUUCAUUUUAAACUGUGUGCCCUCAGCCAGGUGACUUCUCUGCUCCUCCUCCGAAAGGGGGACAACAAUGGCCCUCACCUCCAGGGGUCGCCAGGGAACCCUGCUGUGCGUGGUGAGUGGCAUCCUCUAUUAUUGGUGUGAAAGAUGAAGAUGGCCUGGUGCCUGGUGUGCUGAUGGAGCAGUGGGUGCUGCAGGGGGAAGGGAGCCAGGCCGUCCCCUGCACAGCUCUCCACAGGCUCUGGGACACAGGCACACACCUGAGCCUUUGGCAACAUCAACCAAGUGCUCAGCACACAGUGGAUGCUCAGUCCAUGCUGAUCCCCACUCCCGCAGCCUCUCAUGGUAGGUCCAAGAGGCCCCCGCACUUCUUUGGGCAUCACAGUCAUCAUUGCCUUCUGCUCAGCCCUUUACAGUGUUCAAAGGGCUCCAGGGCUCCUUCAGCCCCUAGGACAGCCUGUGGGGCCUGGUUCCCACGCAGGGGAGGGAAUGCAUCACGGGGGCUCUCCUUGGCUUCAUCAACGUGGCAGAGCUGGUAUGUGAUAGCAACUAUAUCCAUGCCGUUUGCUUCCUCUCCAUCAUUCAUCCAUUCAACAAACAUUUAUUGAGCACCUACUAUGUGCUCCGGGCAUAAGUGGUUAACAGGAGAGACUUGUCUUGACCUGUGGAUUUUAUGGUCUAGCUGGGAGAGAGGCUUGAAUAGACAACUACACAAGAGUUUCUGAAUCACGCAGGUGGUGAAAGCUGUGACUGGGAAAUGCAGGGAGUGUACUGGGACGACCCAGCCUCCACCGAGGGGUCAGGGAAGGCCUCCAUGAGGACGAUUUCAACCUGAGUACCCCCAGAGCAGAGCCUGAGGCAGAGACUUGGCUUCGAGGAGAGGGGACCCCGGGGAGCAGCAAGGAGGGAGAAGGGAGGUGAGAGGGGGCUGGAGGAAAGCCAAAACAAAGAUAUGCUGAUAAGAUCCUUACUGUGGGCUAUGGGGCGGCUCCCCCAGGCCACCUGAGGAGGGGGCAGAGGGCCUCCUGGCAGUGUCCCCCCAAAGGGAGGGAGGAGCUUGGUCCCUGUGGGAGGCCCAGCCAGCUUCCCCAGUGUCCUUCCCUUGGAAGGAGCCCGAGGGUGGCCAUCCAGCCAGCCCUGGCUGGGUGAGAGCUGGACCCAGAUGGGUCGGUUACAGGAGGUGGCAUUUUCUAUACAGCUUGGCGGGCCUGGGGAGAA
ensembl:lncRNA